GGGAUCAUUACCGAGUUUACAACUCCCAAACCCAAUGUGAACGUUACCAAACUGUCGCCUCGGCGGGAUCUCUGCCCCGGGUGCGUCGCAGCCCCGGACCAAGGCGCCCGCCGGAGGACCAACCAAAACUCUUUUGUAUACCCCCUCGCGGGUUUUUAUAUCUGAGCCAUCUCGGCGCCUCUCGUAGGCGUUUCGAAAAUGAAUCAAAACUUUCAACAACGGAUCUCUUGGUUCUGGCAUCGAUGAAGAACGCAGCGAAAUGCGAUAAGUAAUGUGAAUUGCAGAAUUCAGUGAAUCAUCGAAUCUUUGAACGCACAUUGCGCCCGCCAGUAUUCUGGCGGGCAUGCCUGUCCGAGCGUCAUUUCAACCCUCGAACCCCUCCGGGGGGUCGGCGUUGGGGAUCGGCCCUUUACGGGGCCGGCCCCGAAAUACAGUGGCGGUCUCGCCGCAGCCUCUCCUGCGCAGUAGUUUGCACACUCGCAUCGGGAGCGCGGCGCGUCCAUUGCCGUAAAACACCCAACUUUCUGAAAUGUUGACCUCGGAUCAGGUAGGAAUACCCGCUGAACUUAAGCAUAUCAAUAAGCGGAGGAA
rnacentral:rRNA from 1 species